rnacentral:rRNA from 1 species
GAUGAACGCUAGCUACAGGCUUAACACAUGCAAGUCGAGGGGUAACGAGAGGAAAGCUUGCUUUCCUUGUCGACGACCGGCGCACGGGUGAGUAACGCGUAUCCAACCUGCCCCCAACUAGGGAAUAACCUUGCGAAAGUAAGACUAAUACCCUAUAAUUUCCUCAGAUGUCAUCUGACGAGGAAUAAAGAUUUAUCGGUUGUGGAUGGGGAUGCGUCUGAUUAGCUUGUUGGCGGGGUAACGGCCCACCAAGGCAACGAUCAGUAGGGGUUCUGUGAGGAAGGUCCCCCACAUUGGAACUGAGACACGGUCCAAACGCCUACGGGAGGCAGCAGUGAGGAAUAUUGGUCAAUGGGCGGAAGCCUGAACCAGCCAAGUAGCGUGCAGGAUGAUGGCCCUAUGGGUUGUAAACUGCUUUUAUACAGGAAUAAAGUUAGCCACGUGUGGUUAUUUGUAGGUACUGUAUGAAUAAGGACCGGCUAAUUCCGUGCCAGCAGCCGCCGCGG